CUUCGUAGUGACGGUGACAGGGGGGAAGCGGCCGUUCCAUUUCAUCUCCGGUGCAGCAGCAGGACGCCAUUGUCUCGGCUUCCGUGCCGUCCAAUUUGCGCCCCGCCCUCGCGUCAACCGAUUCGCAUCAACACACACGGCUGUCUGAGCGGAGCUGUCAAGAUUUUCGUAAGUCCGUUUCGUGCCGACGGAAAACUCUGCUCAACUGUGCGUCGCCGAGCCGCGCAGCUUCCUCGCACCACACACGUGCGUAGGGCGCAGCCUCGCCGCGGCA